rnacentral:lncRNA from 1 species
UUGGAUUUACUAGAAUUUAAAAACUAGGUAUCUCAAUGUUUGCGGACGAGUGACGGUGGUAUGGUGCUUGACAUUCAUUCCCAUUUCUUGCAUGGGACCUAAGCAUGCACCCAACGACCAAAGACUUGAUUUUUCAACCAAUUUAUAAGCACCGGAGCAUGUGCAUGUAGUUCAAAUUUGAAUUAAUGACACAAAUGCAUUGAAAACUCACUUAACGCAUAAAAAUGUCCAAAUGAGCCCUGAAAAAUCACAAAAAAAUAACACAACACUCCUGUUGUUCUAUGUUGACAUGAGAAAAAAAAUUGAAAGCAAUUAGAGGCAAUGUAUAUGGUUUCACCCCCAAAGUUGGGGCGUUCCCUACCGAAACCAUCAUGCUUGUUGUGAGAAGCUCUAGUUUGUGAGAAGCAUAUACCCAAACCUGCCCCAAAUGGGACAAAAACUUUACCACAACAUGUUGAUGCUGCUCCAUGAUAGCAUGACAAGUUUCAUGAAUUUCGGACGAAUUUUGGAUUUACUAGAAUUUAAAAACCAGGCAUCUCGAUGUUUCGGCCGAGUGACGGUGGCACGGUGCUUGACAUUCAUUCCCAUUUCUUCCAUGAGACCUAGCAUGCACCCAAGGACCAAAGAUUUGAUUUUUCAACAAAUUUAUAUGCACCGGAGCAUGUGCAUGUAGUUCAAAUUUGAAUUAUGCACAUAAAUGCAUUGAAAAGUCACUUAAUGCAUAAAAAUGUCCAAAUGAACCCCGAAAAAUCACAAAAAAUAACACAACACUCCUGUUGUUCUAUGUUGACAUGAGAAAAAAAUUGUAAGCAAUUAGAGGCAUUGGAUAUUGUUUCGCCCCCAAAGUUGGGACGUUGCCUACCGAAACCAUCAUGCUUGUUGUGAGAAGCUCUGGUUUGUGAGAAGAAUAUACCCAAACCUACCCCAAAUGGGACAAAAACUUUACGACAUCAUGUUGAUGCCGCUCCAUGAUAGCAUGACAAGUUUCAUGAAUUUCGGACGAGUUUUGGAUUUACUAGAAUUUAAAAACCAGGUAUCUCAAUGUUUGCGGCCGAGUGACGGUGGCACGGUGCUUGACAUUCAUUCUCAUUUCUUGCAUGGGACGUAAGAAUGCACCCAAGGACCAAAGAUUUGAUUUUUCAACCAAUUUAUAUGCACCGGAGCAUGUGCAUGUAGUUCAAAUUUGAAUUAUGCACAUAAAUGCAUUGAAAACUCACUUAAUGCAUAAAAAUGUCCAAACGAACCCCAAAAAAUCACAAAAAAUAACACAACACUCCUGUUGUUCUAUGUUGAGGCGAGAAUUUUUUUUUGAAAGCAAUUAGAGGCAAUGGAUAUCAUUUUGCCCCCAUAGUUGGGGCAUUCCCUGCCGAAACCAUCAUGCUUGUUGUUAGAAGCUCUCGUUUGUCAGAAGCAUAUACCCAAACCUGCCACAAAGUGGGACGAAAACUUUACCACGACAUGUUGAUGCCGCUCCAUGAUAGCAUCCCAACUUUCAUGUAUUUUAGACGAGUCUUGGAUUACCAGAAUUUAAAAAAUAGGUAUCUCAAUGUUUGUGGCCGAGUGACGGUGGCACGGUGCUUGACAUUCACUCCCAUUUCUUGCAUGGGACCUAAGCAUGCACCCAAGGACCAAAGAUUUGAUUUUUCAACCAAUUUAUAUGCUCCGGAGCAUGUGCAUGUGGUACGUAUCCAUCGUAUCUACUUUUCCAAACACCUUUGCCCUUGUUUUGGACUCUAACUUGUAUGAUUCGAAUGGAACUAACCCGGACUGACGUUGUUUUCAGCAGAAUUGCCAUGGUGUUGUUUUAUGUGCAGAAAACAAAUAUUCUCGGAAUGACCUGAAACUCCACGGAACAUCUUAAAAAAACAAUAAAAAAUCCUCACCAAAGAUGAAGACCAGGGGGCCCACACCCUGUCCAUGAGGGUAGGGGCGCCCCCCCUCUAGGGCGCACCCCCUACCUCGUGGGCCCCCUGGAUGCCCUCCGAGGCCAACUCCAACUCUAUAUAUCUGCUUUCGGAGAGAAAAAACCCAGGGAGAAGAAAUCAUCGCGUUUUACGAUACGAAGCCGCCUGCAAACCCUAAAGCCUCUCGGGAGGGCUGAUCUGGAGUCCGUUCGGGGCUCCGGAGAGGGGGAUUCGUCGCCGUCGUCAUCAUCAACCAUCCUCCAUCACCAAUUUCAUGAUGCUCACCGCCGUGCAUGAGUAAUUCCAUCGUAGGCUUGUUGGACGGUGAUGGGUUGGAUGAGAUUUAUCAUGUAAUCAAGUUAGUUUUGUUAGGGUUUGAUCCCUAGUAUCCACUAUGUUCUGAGAUUGAUGUUGCUAUGACUUUGCUGUGCUUAAUGCUUGUCACUAGGGCCCGAGUGCCAUGAUUUCAGAUCUGAACCUAUUAGGUUUUCAUGAAUAUAUGUGAGUUCUUGAUCCUAUCUUGCAAGUCUAUAGUCACCUACUAUGUGUUAUGAUCCGGCAACCCUGAAGUGACAAUAAUCGGGACCACUCCCGGUGAUGACCAUAGUUUGAGGAGUUCAUGUAUUCACUAUGUGCUAAUGCUUUGUUCCGGUUCUCUAUUAAAAGGAGGCCUUAAUAUCCCUUAGUUUCCAAUAGGACCCCGCUGCCAUGGCAGGGUAGGACAAAAGAUGUCAUGCAAGUUUUUUUCCAUAAGCACGUAUGACUAUAUACGGAAUACAUGCCUAAAUUACAUUGAUGAAUUGGAGCUAGUUCUGUGUCACCCUAUGUUAUGACUGUUACAUGAUGAACCAGAUACGACAUAAUUAUCCAUCACUGAUCUGGUGCCUACGAGUUUUCCAUAUACUGGUUUACGCUUAUUUACUUUUUCGCUACUACUGUUACAAUCACUAUAAAAUACCAAAAACAUUACUUUUGCUGUCUUUGCUUUUGUUACCGCUACCACCACUAUCAUAUUACUUUGCUACUAAACACUUUGCUGUAGAUACUAAGUUUCCAGGUAUGGUUGAAUUGACAACUCAACUGCUAAUACUUGAGAAUAUUCUUUGGCUCACCUUGUGUCGAAUCAAUAAAUUUGGGUUGAAUACUCUACCCUCGAAAGCUAUUGCGAUCCCCUAUACUUGUUGGUUAUCAAGACUAAUUUCUGGUGCCGUUGCCGGGGAGCAUAGAUCUAUUCUUUGAGUCACUUGGGAUUUAUAUCUGUUGGACACUAUGAAGAACUUGAAAGACGCUAAGACAACAAUUUAUCCCUCAACUAUGAGGGGAGGUAAGGAACUGCCAUCUAGCUCUGUACUUGAUUCACUCUGUUAUGAGUAAGCUAGCGACACCUAAACCUGCUUCUGUUAUUCGUUCUGAUAUGUCGCAUGUUAUUGAUGAUGCCACUUCUGCUAUGCGUGAUACUUAUGAUGAAACUGCUUCUAUGCCUGAUACUACUGUACCCCUAGGUGAAUUUCUUGAUGAACAAAUUGGUAGGGCUAGAGAAAAAGAAAUUAUUGAAUCUGAAUACGAUGAUGAUAGUGACGAUGAAAAUAUGCCUGUUAUCCCUGAGGGUUAUCUUUUUGAUAUGGAAUCUUCUGCCGCUAUUUUAGCUUGCAGGGAUAGAUAUGAGCUUAAGAGGUUAUUAGUUAAAUGGAACAAAGAAUCACUUAGAGAUAAAAUGAAACCCAACCCUGCUUUUGCUACUUCACCUAUAUGUGUUCCUGAUAAGGAUUAUGAAUUCUCUGUUGAUCCUGAUAUAAUUACUUUGGUUGAAUCUGAUCCAUUUUAUGGCUAUGAAUCUGAAACUGUUGUGGCACAUCUUACUAAGUUAAAUGAUAUAGCUGACCUGUUCACUAAUGAUGAGAGAUCGCCUUACUUCUAUAUACUCAAAAUAUUUCCGUUCUCAUUAAAGGGUGAUGCUAAGAUAUGGUUUAAUUCUCUUGAUUCUGGUUGUGUGCAUUGUCCCCAGGAUAUGAUUUAUUACUUCUCUGCUAAAUAUUUCCUUGCUCAUAAGAAACAAGCUGAUUUGAGGGAAAUAUACAACUUCGUGCAAAUUAAAGAAGAGAGUCUCCCACAAGCUUGGGGGAGGCUUCUUAAGUUACUUAAUGCUUUGCCUGAUCAUCAUCUUAAGAAACCUGAAAUACUUGAUAUCUUUUAUAAUGGACUAACCGAUGCUUCCAGAGAUUACCUGGAUAGUUGUGCUGGUUCUCUUUUCAGGGAAAGAACACCGGAUGAAGCAGAAAUUCUAUUGAAUAAUAUGUUGACAAAUGAAAAUAAUUGGGCACCUCCUGAGCCAGCUCCUGCUCCAAUCACUGAGUCUAUUCGUAAACCAACUCCGAAGAAGAGAGGUGUUCUAUUCCUCAGUCCCGAAGAUAUGCAAGAGGCAAAGAAAUCUAUGAAAGAAAAAGGUAUUAAAGCUGAAGAUGUUAAGAAUUUACCUCCUAUUGAAGAAAUAUAUGGUCUGAAUAUACCGCCUGUUGAAGAAACAUAUGAUCUCAAUUCUUUAUUUACUGAAGAACCUCCUGAUCCCGAUAUCCCGACAUAGGUAGUAAAGGUAAAUUCUCUCUAUAGAUAUGAUAAAGUUGAAGUCCCUCCUACUAAAAUUGCUAGUUAGUGCUUGGAUGAGUUUGAUAACUUUAUGUUUAAGCAAGACGACUUCAAUGCUUAUUUUGGUAGACAAUUAAAAGAAAAUGCUUAUAUGAUUAGACGCUUGGGUGAUUAUAUGGCUAAUAUUAAAGGUGAACUUAAACUUGUUAGCAAACAUGCUUCUAUGGUUACCACACAAGUAGAACAAGUACUUAAGGCUCAAAAAGAAGUGCUUGAUGAAAUGAAUAGUAAGAAAAAUGAUUAUGCUGUUAGAGUGGCUACUAGAACUGGUAGAAUGACUCAGGAACCUUUGUAUCCUGAAGGCCACCCUAAGAGAAUCGAGCAAGAUUCUCAAAGAAAUAAUAUUGAAGUUCCUAGUUCUUCUACAAAGAAGAAGAAGAAAAAUGAUAGAACUAUGCAAACUUCUAGUGAACCUAUUGCUGAACCACCUGAUAAUCCAAAUGAUAUAUCUAUGUCUGAUGCUGAAACAUAAUCUGGUAAUGAACAUGAACCUAAUGAAAAUAUUAAUGAUGAUGUUCAUGAUGAUGCUCAACCUAGUAAUGACAAUGAUGUAGAAAUUGAACCUGCUGUUGAUCUUGAUAACCCACAAUCAAAGAAUCAACGUUAUGAUAAAAGAGACUUUGUUGCUAGGAAACAUGGUAAAGGAAGGGAACCUUGGGUUCAGAAACCCAUGCCUUUUCCUCCGAAACCAUCCAAGAAAAAGGAUGAUGAGGAUUUUGAGCGCUUUGCUGAAAUGAUUUGGCCUAUCUUUUUGCGUAUGCGAUUAACUGAUGUGCUCAAAACAAAUCCUUAUGCUAAAUAUAUGAGGGAUAUCAUUACUAAUAAAAGAAAGAUAUGGAAAGCUGAGAUUUCCACCAUGCUUGCUAAUUAUACUUUUAAGGGUGGAAUACCAAAGAAACUCGGAGACCCCGGAGUACCUACUAUACCUUGCUCCAUUAAAAGAAAUUAUAUUAAAACUGCUUUAUGUGAUCUUGGAGCCGGUGUUAGUGUUAUGCCUCUCUCUUUAUAUCGUAGACUUGACUUGAAUAAGUUGACACCUACUGAAAUAUCUUUGCAAAUGGCUGAUAAAUCAACUGCUAUACCUGUCGGUAUCUGUGAGGAUGUGCCUGUUGUGGUUGCAAACGUUACUAUUUUAACGGACUUUGUUAUUCUUGAUAUUCCCGAGGAUGAUAGUAUGUCUAUUAUUCUUGGAAGACCUUUUAUUAAUACUGCAGGGGCUGUUAUUGAUUGCAACAAAUGCAAUGUCACUUUUCAUGUUAAUGGUAAUGAGCAUACAGUACACUUUUCGAGGAAACAACCUCAAGUUCAUAGUAUCAAUUCUAUCAGAAAAAUUCCAUCGAUUAUAUUUGGAGGUUUUGAAUUUCCUCUCCCUACUGUCAAGAAGAAAUAUGAUAUACUUAUUAUUGGGGAUGUGCAUAUCCCCGUUGAGGUAACUUAGUGUCAUUCGAAAUUUCUCCGGUUUCAUGAUUAUCGGGAUGAGUUUGUUAACAAGACUUGAUCAACCUUGUUAGUGGAUUCUUUUUGAUGAGCAUCAGAUGCAUGAAACUAGAAGCACAAACUUCUGUACCCUCCCUAUACUUUCUGUUAAUUAGUAGAAAUAAAGCAAAAAUAGUAUUUUUUCUGUCUAUUUCCUAACUUAUCCGUGCAAUAUAAAAAUAUCCCAAAAAUAAAAGUCCUCAGAAUGACAUGCCAAUUUAAUAUGAUUUUUUCGGGAAUAUUUGAGGAUUUACUGUGCAAAAAUUACCGCAGGAGGAGCUGCCACCUGGCCACGAGGGUGGUGGGCGUGCCCACCUGCCUCGUGGGCCCACGGUGGCCCUCCUCCACUUAUCCCAGCACCCAUCUUCUUCCUCUGUCUCACACAAACCCGAAAAACCAACUCAAGCACGAGUUCCAGCCACUUUUGCUAUGAUUUUCGAUCUCCUUGCUCAAAGCACCUCUCGCAAAACUGCUUGGGGAGAUUGUUCCUUGGUAUGUGACUCCUCCAUUGGUCCAAUUAGUUUUUGUUCUAGUGCUUUAUUCUUUGCAAAUUUGUGCUGCAUAGGUGACCAUGUUCUUGAGCUUGCAUGUCAAUUUUAUAUGGUUCCAAGUAGUUCUAAUGCUUGAUAUAGGCUCUAGGCACUUGUAGGAGUAGUUGCUAUCAGUUUUAUUGAAGUUGGUUCACUUUUGUUUGAAGUUACUAAAAUCUUUAGAUUAUUUCAGAAAAAUAAUGAGGAGAUUUUUGAGGGGUUCAUCGAGCCAAAGCUCAAAGGAUAAACAAAAUGAAGAAGCUCAGAGGCCCAAAUAUAAUUUGCCUCGUACCGCGGAGAUCCGGCCGUGUGAAUGGCCUUCUGAUAAUUUCUUGAGAGAGGCCGUGAUUUAUGAGGAUUUCUAUUCAUUGAUUAAGAAUGCUGGUCUCACCGACUUCGUCCGCGACCAACUUCCACAGUAUCUCUUACUCACAAAUACGUUUGUGCAAAACUUCUACUUUUUCCCUAAAGAGUCACCUCCUUCAGUAGAGUUUCAUUUAUAUGACGUUGUGAAGAAAAUGCCAUUAUCUGAAUUUUGCGCAGUCUGCAACAUACCUCCUAAUGGUAUCUUAGAGGAAUCACCUCAUAAAGAGUUGGAACCAUUUAUUAACCUUAUCUCUGUGGGAGAAACCAGGAAGGUUUCUGAUGCAAGAAUCACUAGCAUACAUUUUCCCGUGUUACGCUACUUUGCUUUAUUUGCUAGUCGAUGCUUGAUUGGUCGUGGGAACUGUGGGAACCUUAGUGUUCCUGAUAUUAUUAUUCUGUUCCAUGGUUUAUACCGCUACAACACUAUCAGUAUGGGCGGAAUUAUUGCUAGGCGGUUGAGUCUGAACCGUACUAAAGGCCCCAUCUUUGGAGGCAUUUAUGCUUCUCGCCUUGCUUCACACUUUAACAUAGCUAUUAGGCAUUAUGAGAAAGAAGAAAAAUUGUUGCCUAAUGCUUAUCUAGACUAUAAGAGCAUGAUAGCCCAUGAUUUUCUUGUUAAGGACAGGAAUGGAGAGCUCAAAUAUAAGUUAUACUUUGAUAAACAUUAUCCUGAAACUAUUAUGUUGCCUGCUCCUUCUUUGUUUAAUUUUGUAGGACCCUACCUCAUUACGUGGGCUGCCGUCCAAGCUGACAACAAUCCUGCACCAGCCCCGGAACAAGAACCAAAAAAUGAGCCUCCAUGACAAUCUGUUUAUUCUUGGGAUCCAGAGAUGACUGUCAGCCAGUGGCAGUCAGAGUCUUCUUCUUCAUCACAGUAUGAUCCCAAUUAUUCUUUGUUGCAGUAUGACCCCAGCUACACUUACGGGUACCCACCAGGCUAUCUCUGGCAAUAAACCAACUUAGGCCAAAAGCCUAAGCUUGGGGGAGUACGUAUUUCUCACCGACAUUACAUUUAUGUUCACACACACUCAUUGCUAGAUGUCGGUGCUCAUACUCUUUCACUGUAAUAUCCAUGCUAGUUUAUUUUCUUUUUCCUGCUUUCUUCUUGUGUGUUUGUUAAACAUUAAGAAAAACCAAAAAAAUAGUAGUAGUUUAUUUUUCUGCUGUAGUAAGUAAUAAUUAAAAAGAAAACCCAAAAAUAUUUCCUGUUCUUCUUUCGCUUGUUGGGAGCUUUCCCGUGUAAAUAGUUUUAUUUCUUUUCUUUUCUUUGGGGGUCAGUAGGAGAAGACCAUAAUUAAAUUGUUGAAGUGGCUCUUAUAUGCAUUAUUGUUGAAUUAACCUAGAGCCCAUGAUGCCUUGUCUUCUCCUGUUUAUUGAAUGCUCGCAGAUUCCAGCUUAGUCCAAUGCACGUGCACUCUUAUUAUUAUUCACACUGUUCGGUCGUGCGAGUGAAAGGCAAUUAUGAUGAUAUAUGAUGGGCUGACUGAGAUGAGAAAAGCUGGUAUGAACUCGACCUCUUUUGUUUUUGUAAAUAUGAUGAGUCCCUCGUUCUUGAUUCAGCUUACUAUGAAUAAACAUGUUUGCAAUGACAAUUAGAGAUCAUAGUUGCUUGUGCCAUGCUUGAUUAGCUAUGAGUUAUAAUGGUUUACCUUGUGUGCCAACAUGCUAUUGAGAUGAUUAUGAUGUGGUAUGAUGGGGUGGUAUCCUCCUUUGAAUGAUUUAAGUGACUUGACUUGGCACAUGUUCACGCAUGUAGUUGAAACAAAAUCAACAUAGCCUUCACGAUAUUUAUGUUCAUGGUGGAUUAUAUCCUACUCAUGCUUGCAUCCAAUGUUUAUUAAUUUUAAUGCAUGUACAUGGUUGUUGUCGCUCUCUAGUUGGUCGCUUCCCAGUCUUUUGCUAGCCUUCACUUGUACUAAGCGGGAAUACUACUUGUGCAUCCAAUCCCUUAAACCCCAAAGUUAUUCCAGAUGAGUCCACUAUACCUUCCUAUACGCGGUAUCUACCUGCCGUUCCAAGUAAAUUUGUAUGUGCCAAACUCUAAACCUUCAAAUAAACAUUCUGUUUUGUAUGCUCGAAUAACUCAUGUUUCAACCAAGGCUGUCCUUAUCUUCCGUGUUAGGCGGGUUAUUCUCAAGAGGAGUGGACUCCGCUCCUCACUCACGAGAAAAUGGCUGGUCACCGGGAUGCCCAGUCCCAUGCUUUAUGCAAACUAAAUCAAAAUUAAUUGCAAACAAAACUCCCCCUGGGACCUGAUGUAUGUUGGAGACACUUGUUGUUUCGAGCAAGUCAUGGAUUGAUGCUUGUUGGUGGAGGGGGAGUAUGAACUUUACCAUUCUAUUUGGGAACUGCCUAUAAUGUGUUUAGCAUGGAAGAUAUCGCCAUCUCUUAGUUGCUACAUUGACAAUGAAAGUAUACCGCUCAAAAUACAAUUUAUCUCUAUUUCAAAACCGAGCUCUGGCACCUCUACAAAUCCCUGCUUCCCUCUGCGAAGGGCCUAUCCAUUUACUUUUAUGUUGAGUCAUCACCCUCUUAUUAAAAAACACUAUCUGGAGAGCACAACUGUCAUUUGCAUUCAUCACUAUUAAUCUAUGUUGGGUGUGACUAUGAUUGGAUCUCUUUUACCAUGAAUUACAAUGUCUAGUCAGUCCUUGAUCUUUAAAGGUGCUCUGCAUUUAUGUUUUGCGGUCUCAGAAAGGGUUAGCGAGAUACCAUCUUGUUAUAUCAUAUUAUGAUUGUUUUGAGAAAGUGUUGUCAUCCGAGAUUUAUUAUUAUGACUUGCUAGUUGAUUAUGCUAUUGAUAUGAGUAAUUAUGAGACUUGACAAUUAUUGCAAAUGUGGUUAGUUAUGAUCUAUGCUGAAAACUUGAAUGCUGGCACUACAAAAAAAGACACAUCCAUGACAUUUUGGGCCGAACGAAAUUUUUUUCUGUCAUACAUAUGACACUUCUAUGACGAUAAUUGUGGCAAAACCCGGUAUCAUCAUAGAUGUGGUGGGAUCCUACUUCUAUGAAAAAAAUCAUGACAGAAAAUGGGCUUUUCGUCCUGGGCCGGCCGGAGACGCAGCUGCAUGACAUUCUUUGGGCUGUCCAUGACGGAGAAAACCAUGGUAGAAGCGAGGGGGAGGAAAAUUUUGGGGAGUUCCCGGUUACGGUGGGAGGUCGGGGGCCGAGCGAUGCGCGUUUCUCUUGUACAUGUACGCGCGUGUGUGCGAGGCGUUGGCUCUAACUGAACCCGAGCAAGGCGUUGGGCUCUAACUGAACCCGAGCGAUUGCACUGCAGGCUACGCGUUACUGAACCCGAGCGAUCGAUCGAUGGCUGUUAACUGAACCCGAUCGAGCGAUUCCUUGGCUACUGCUGCUAAUUGAAGCUGAUCGAUGGGAUNNNNNNNNNNNNNNNNNNNNNNNNNNNNNNNNNNNNNNNNNNNNNNNNNNNNNNNNNNNNNNNNNNNNNNNNNNNNNNNNNNNNNNNNNNNNNNNNNNNNNNNNNNNNNNNNNNNNNNNNNNNNNNNNNNNNNNNNNNNNNNNNNNNNNNNNNNNNNNNNNNNNNNNNNNNNNNNNNNNNNNNNNNNNNNNNNNNNNNNNNNNNNNNNNNNNNNNNNNNNNNNNNNNNNNNNNNNNNNNNNNNNNNNNNNNNNNNNNNNNNNNNNNNNNNNNNNNNNNNNNNNNNNNNNNNNNNNNNNNNNNNNNNNNNNNNNNNNNNNNNNNNNNNNNNNNNNNNNNNNNNNNNNNNNNNNNNNNNNNNNNNNNNNNNNNNNNNNNNNNNNNNNNNNNNNNNNNNNNNCGGUGGAGGGGUGCCCGUGGAUGGGUGGUUGAACAGGACCCCGUGGUGUGGAGGGCUGGAUAACAGUAGACGGUGGAGGGGUGGUUGAACAGUAGCUGGUGGAGUAGCGCGCAGUGGAGGCUGGAUGAACAGGAGCCUGUGGAGGCUGGAGGAGGUCGACGGUGGAUGAACAGUAGCUCGUGGAGGCUGGAGGGGGUCGACGGUGGAGAUGAACAGUAUCCCGUGGAGUCCCAUUUUGCGGUACGCCACACCCCUCCUGAUGAACAGGACCCCCGUUUCGACCGUAGCGCUCCAACACAAGUCCGUUUCCUCCAUUUUGUGGUACGCCACACCCCUCCCGAUCAACAGGACCCCUGUUUCGUCGUUUUGCGAUACGCCACACCCCUCCCAAUCAACAGGAUCCCCGUUUCGACCGUAGGAGGUCCGUUUCCUCCGUUUUGCGGUACGCCACACCCCUCCCGAUCAACAGGACCCUCGUUUCGACCGUAGGAGGUCCGUUUCCUUCGUUGUGCGGUACGCCAGGCCUCGUUUCCAUCGCCUCUUCCGUCCAAGCCCUCCCGAUGAACACAACCACGUAUUCCGUUCCGACCCAUGAACACGAUGACGACGCUGUUUCUCCGUUCCGACCCAGCCAUGUACAUGAGCCCUCGCCAUACGUAUGCGCGAGUAGGCGUUCAAGACCCCGCCUGUAUGUACACAUACGUGGCCGUAUUUUCUUUCUUGCACCCUGGCCGCCUCUACUAUGACAUGUGCGCGCCUCUACAUCCACCAGUAUAUAUGUACGUACAUGUUCGCGACCAGAAUGACAAUGCUACAUACGCUUCGACCAGGUGGGUCCCGACUGUCAGGCACUUCCUUGCCUGCGAAGAUGUGCCUGGUGGGUCCCAGCAGUUAGGGGGCGAAAUACGGUGGCCCGUCUGGUGGGUCCCCGCUGUCAGGUGGAGAAAUAAUUAUUGUUCAUGUAAUAAGGAGGCACUUCCUAACUGCGACCGUCGACCCAGCUGUCAGCCUCUCCAUGUACAGUCCACGUCCGAUGGAAGUCGUUCCUUGACCAUGUUGACCAUGCCGCCCCGAGAACACCAGGGCGGUGGACGACGGCGAGGCCUAGGAAGGGGACGACGCGGAGCCCGGGAAGACGUGGCAGUGGAUGCCCACCCGUAGAGGAGUAUGAGGGUUCACUGGUUCGCUGCGGUGUGAGGCUGCCGUCGCCGCAGAAUAACAGGGGGUGUGGGUGAGUAGAGGGAUGGCCUGGCCAGCGGUGGGAGUAGUAGGGGGCGGUGAGGCCUCCGCCGCAUCGCAGCCGGCCACGGGAGGCAGGAGCACGAGGCACGACCGGCACUAGUUUGGGCGGCUGGAGCAAGAAGACCAGAGGUUGAAGAAGCACUACAGCCGUUGGAUGGACAUCGUACAAUCACUGGAGCUAGAAUCAUGCAUAUUGACUAAGUUAACAAAGCCCUCCGUCCCCGUCAACUUAGUAGGCCCACAAGUCAGCCUCCCAGCAAGGUGGGUCCCAGCUAGCCGGGGGAGUAUUCAUUUUUUGUGCGUAAUAAGGAGGCACUUCCGAUGGAUCCGAGCUGACAGCGGGGGAAACAUUUUUUUGUGAAAUACGGUGGCCCGUCCGGUGGGUCCAGCAGUCAGGGGGAAACAAUUUUUUUUUGCAAAAUACUGGUGGCCCGUCCGGUGGGUCCCUGCUGUCAGGUGGAGGUAUAAUUAUUUUCCGCGUAAUAAGGAGGCACUUCCUUGUGGCUGCCGUGGACCUAGCUGUCAGCCUCUCCACGUACAGUAUUCUUCUGAUGGAAUUCGGUCAUUGACCACAUUGACCACGGCGCACCAACAACACCACAGCGGUGGACGACGGCGAGGCCUAGGAAGGGGACGACGCGGAGCAGGGGAAGAUGCGGCAGUGGAUGUCCACGCGGAGAGGAGUACGAGGGUUCACUGGUUCGGCUGCGCUGCCGUCGCUGCAGAAUAACAGGGGGUGUGGGUGAGUGGAGUGGAGGGAUGGCCUGGCCAGCGGUGGGAGUAGUAUGGGGGCGGUGAGGCCUCCGCGGCAGCACAGGCGGCCACGGGAGGCAGGAGCAGGAGGCACGACCGGCGCUGGUUUGGGCGGCUGGAGCAAGAAGACCAGAGGUUGAAGAAGCACUACGGCCGUUGGAUGGACAUCGUACGGUCAGUCAAGCUAGAAUCGUGCAUAUUGACUAAGUUGACAAAGCCCUUCGUCCCCGUCAACUUAGUAGGCCCGCUAUACUGGGUCCCAGCUAGCAGGGGGAGUAUUCAUUUUUUUGUGCGUAAUAAGGAGGCACUUCCUUGAGUGCGAAGAUAUAGCUGGUGGGUCCGAGCUAUCAGCGGCGGUAACGUUUUUUUCGUGAAAUACAGAGGCCGUUUCGGUGGGUCCCAGAUGUCAGGUGGAGGAAAUCAUUAUUUUGCGCGUAAUAAGGAGGCAUUUCCGUGCGUGCGGCCGUGGACCCAGCUGUCAGCCUCUCCACGUACAGUCCGCUUCAGAUGCAUGUCGGUCGUUGACCAUGCUGACCACGCCACGCCGAGAGCACGAGGGCGGUGGACGACGGCGAGGCCUAGGAAGGGAACGACAUGGAGGCAGGGAAGACUCGGCCGUUGUUUUUGUUUCCCAUGCGGAGUGGAGUACGACUGUACGAGGGUUUACUGGUUCGUCUACCGUCGCCAGAGAAUAACAGCAGGCGUGGGUGAGUAGAGGGAUGGCUAGGCCAGCGAUGGGAGUAUGGUGGGGCGGUGAGGCCUGCGCGGCAGCACAGCCGGCCACGGGGAGGAGGGAGCAGGCAGUCCCGCCGGCUCUUGUUUGAGAGGCUGGAGCAGGAAGAGGAGAGAUUGAAGAUGCAUGACGGCCGUUGGAUGGACAUCCAACAGUAUACAGGCCAUCUGUGGAAAGCCUCAAAUCUGUGGAAAACAGCAUACAACCCAUCUGCCAUUAUUUAAAAUAAUUUACAGCCCAUUUGCUAAUUCUUACGGGUUUUUUGGAGCCCAUAUUCUUUAUGUUAGCAUUACAGCCCAUAUUGUGGCCAUGGUUAAAAACUUAUACGAAAUUUUGCAUAUGUUGGUGCGGUCUGAACUGUUUUUAAUACCGAAAUUUUGAGUCACAUUCAGACUGAUUUUAAAAAUAAAUGUAUAUCAAUAUAAAAUCCAAUAAAUUGUCCACGCAUAAAAAUCAAUGCAAUUUAAAUCUUGAAAUGAAGAAAAUAUUUGAAAAUAAUUGCCGGUUUAAUGUGUUUUAAAAAUGUACAGUCCAUUUCUCAUUACUGAUAGGCCAUUUUCUCGGCCAGCCGAAUGAAGCUCUCCUCGUCUUGAAAGAUUUGCAGCCCAACAGGCCUGAUAAAGCGACUUACUGGAUAAAUCACAAAAAAACUGGGCUAGCCAUUUUCAGAAAGAAAAAAAACUACUGGGCUGGUCUGUGGUAAACAUAAAAGAAAAGGCUGUCUAGACAGGCCAGAGUGUCCCGCACAGCCCAGUUGACACCCUGCUUCCGUCUCAAAAACAAAUUAGAUAAAUGCCACUCCAAUUAUGGCGAUUCAUAAAAAUGCCACUGCAAUUUCCAAACUUUGAAAAAUGCCACUGCAAUUUUUGCAAAUUUGAAAAACGCCACUGCAGUUUGCAAACUUUGAAAAAUGCCACUCCAGACUUCGAAAAAUGCCACUAGAAAUGGCAUGAAAUGGCAUUUUUCAAAGUUUGGAAAUUGCAGUGGCAUUUCUCGGAUACACCAGACUUGGAGUGGCAUUUAUCAAAUUAACCCUAUACAAAAAUAACUGGGCGAGCUGCUGGGUCCCUGGUGUCAGCCGCUGGUUGUGCAAUUCUCUCGUUUAUUGACUAUGUUGACAAUGGCAUGUGACCCAGAUGUCAGAAAUCCACUAGGAGGAGCCAUUUUUUCUAUUGGCUUGAAAUAAGGAGGCACUUGCUUGCGUAUGAGCUUGUCAGUUUCUUCAGAGGUAGGCAUUUUUAUUCAAAAAACUGCCACUUUGCAUCUUGCGUCGCAAAUAAAACUGCUAGGAGCGCAUUUGUAGGCUAGCUAGUGAUCGAUCAGUAACUUGUAAACACUGAGCGAACAGAAAUAAGUAACUGUUAAUGCAUCUCAAUGAUUCACAGAUCAUAUACAAAUAUGUAGCUCCAAAAGCAAAGAUCAGCCACUUUGGAUCUUGCGUCGCAACUAAAACUAACUAGUACGAUUCCCAUACAUAAGAUCAACAUGUUAAUGCAUCUCAAUGACUCACAGAUCAUAUACAAAUAUGUAGCUCCAAAAGCAAAGAUCUAGAAAAAACAUUUGUUCUUCCUACUAACAUGGAUGCUUCUAUUAGCCAACAUUCAGUACAGACUGAAAGACAAAUUUGUUUGUGAAGUCUACAAUUCCUCUUGCAAACAUAAGUGGUUUCACCAACAGCUGGAACCAUGAGAAUGAACCAGACAUGAUGGAGGAACAUGCACUACAAUAUGAUUUGGUCUUCCCUCGAUCACACUGCGAGACUAUUUUCGGAAUACAAACUUUAAAUUAGGCAAAAUGAUGUCCAUUGCAUAAUCAAACCAGAGCAAUGAAGCACCUAGUGUUGGCCAAUAAAUAGUACAACACUACUUUUCUGCAGUCCAUGAAGUGACUAUCCAAUCUUUCUGUGUCUAUUUUCAAAUGGCACUGCAUGCAGUGACUAUACUAUUCUCUUGUGCAGUUCAACCAAAAUUGUGGGCACUUUGUUGGUUUGCCAAAUAGCAAUGGGCAGACAUCUCUGUCUGCACAAAUAUCAAGCAACUAGUAAACAUAUACCACACCUUGUAUUUUCGGUUUAAACCUGUCUCUUCCGCUUAGCAUAUGUCAUGUUCUGCACUGGACAAUCUGAUACAGUUAUGUUUUGACCUAGACAAUUUCAUACUGAAUUGAUUUGCUGGUUCUGAGCAGAAAUAUAGCGCCUAUUCUUCAUCAUACCAAGGAUAUCCAUGUUCGUAGUGAUGGAAGAGGUGAAAUCGAUACAACUGAAAUUGAGCAUCCAAUCAUUGAAUCCUGUCUUGCACCUCCAAUGUAGGUCCACCCUGCCAAUAAAUUCACAUGCAAACCACUAGUAUUACUAUCUAAUGACAGUACAAAAAGAGUAGCAAGAUAGUAGCAAACCAUGUACCUUCAUAAUGAACAGCUCAUAGUGCCACCAAUUGGAUAUAAAGGUUGGGAAAAAAUAUGCUCCUAAUGUUGAACCAGUUGGACUAUUUGUGUAGUUCCACUAAAAUCGAGCAUCCCUGUUUGCAUAGAUAUUGAAAGUGUGUUUACUCUAAAAGUGGCACUAGUUGAAGAAUAGACUCACAAAUAUAAGCAUUCCAAUUUCUUAAUGGGAAAAGGUAGCAAGACUGUUUCUAACCACCUGUUUGAAGGAAUAAAUAAAGCAACAGCGGCUGAUGUGAGGAAGGCAUACAUAGUUUUUUCUGGAAAAGUGAGCCAUUCCUGACCUUUCCUCUUCUUUUAAGCCAAUUUUGUGCAGUUCUACUAAAAUAAAAUGCCAUCACCGCCUUGACAAUUCAGUGACACUAUACAAAAGGAAAUGACUUAUCAUUACAUCGUGAUGUCAGGUAUGUAGUCGACAGGCAUUAGAGACAAACAUACAGACCUCCUCAAGAGAACAGCCGGAGGAGGAGGUGCCCACUCUUGACCUUUCCUCUUGUCUUCAUAAUUGUCUGUGCAGUUUAACCAAAAUAAAAUGACAUCAGCGCCUUGGCAUUUUGGUGACACUGUACAAAAAAUUAACUUAUCUCAUGAAAGUGAGGUAUGUAAUCUAUAAGCAUUAACAGUGCAUAAAUCUGACGGGAGUAACAAGUUUCAUCGUUGGUAUACUAGCUGUGCAACAGCAUUAGAAUGCCUUAUAGCUAAAAAAUCUUUAAUACAUCCACAAUCAACAGCUAACCCUGAAAUAGUCUAGUGACAUUAAAUGGCAUUGCUUAAAUUUAUGGGUAGCAUUAGACUGAGAGCGACAUUAGUUAAAUGUGGCAUCACUUUAGCAGUAGCAUUGCUUGACUUGACUGCUGGCGUUAUACUAACAGCAAAAAAGUGGCAAUAAGAGCAUGGGAGGCACUAGUAUGAUGUACCUCCACGGACACAGUGUGGCGAGGGAGGUACGGUUGCCCAGAGCAACAAAUAUCCAGGCAGCAUAUGUGGAUUACGGUCCCAUUUUUGUUCUCUUUAGCCACCUUUUUCCUAUGCGAGGACAACAAACCGAUUGACCUGGUCAUUCUCUAUUGCGUUGUCAUGCCUUUCUACCCUUCUUCAACCAAGAGACACGAGACUCGUUCCUUAGCUACUGAUUUUCCCCUUCUCAACCUAGAUGCGGGUUCGAUGCCUACUCUCUUGGACAAUACAGUCUCCCUUCCUUUCCUUAUUCAACCCAGACAUGGAUUAGUCUACAUGAAGUAGGGGUUCCUUUAAUAGUGCAAAUUAUGGUUUUCGUCUGUGUGGCCAGCAGAGUAGAGGAUAGCAAAUUGGGAAGAUGGUGGAGUGGAAAAAGAUCCACAUGCAACGACGUAGCAGAUGGGGCAAUAGAACAAGGUUAUGGCUCGAAAAGAGGUAGCAUGCCUGAGGGUCGGCGGGAAGUGGCUUCACUCGUGGUCGUCGUCCUCCGCACACACUACGGCAGCGAGCUUGGGGACGGAGGCCAUCCCGUGCGGGCGCUAGGUCUGAGAGGACGGCCUUGUCGACAGUGCGUGACCUCGCUCGCCGACGACGAGUGCGUCAACGCUGCACGUCCUUUUCUUCCCCGGCGGAUCUGUGACCACCGGUGAGGAGGGAGAGAGGGGCCGUCUUUUUUAGAUCUGGAGAGAGGGUGGUAGUGUGAGAAGCAAGUGGGCAGCCCUUAGCAAGAAAGCGCUGAAGCUGUAGCCUAUAUAUAUCUUUUUUAUACUACUAGUAUUAGAGGUGGGGUAGUGGUAGAGUAGUUUAUAUUUUCUCUGCGUAUAGUAUCAGUUAGUCGUGCUUCAAAAUUGAUCGGCACGCCAUUAAAAAAAUAAAGGUCGAUAACUAAUGCGGCACCUCGAGCCAACGCGGCCAGAUCGCAUUUUGCACGAGAAAUUACACACCAUGUUUCAUUGACAUGUGGUCCCGUUCCAACAUAUGAGUGAGACGACAACGAGUAGUAGGAGUAUUUCCGAAUGGGCGUGUAGGCCGGGGCGCCUCUUCGUGAACCGUGGCAAACUCGCAAUCGUCCACCGACUCUUUGCCUUUCCCUCUCGAUUUGGAACUGAUGUCGCACGUUCUUCCUCUCCCUCCUCCAUUUUCCUUCAGCCCUUCACCCUUUCUUCUGCCAUUGUUCGUCGUCUUCUCCAUGGAGGGAACAGGCCGGAAACGACCUCGUUAUUCUUGCCCCGAUCUGAAAGAUGACGUGGUGGAGGAACUCAUUGAUCGGUGCGACGUCAUCACCUCGGCUAGCAUGGCAGGUUCAUUCCAGCCCAUUCUCGACUCAACUAAUAACAUCAUUGCAAGGAACCCAAGGGUCAAGGAGCGGUUUGAUCUCCCCUAUCUUCUUCGCCGUGACCCUGAUGACUGGCGCCGGCACGACGGAGGCCUCGCCCUGUGCAAGUUGAUGCCGCUUGAUAAUGAUACAUGUGAUGUUAAGAUGCCAUCGCUUGAGGGCAAGGCUUGGGCGGGCGCAAAUGGAGAUUGGGUUGUUUACAUUGGGUCCAACUGCGAGUGGGAACUUGUGAAUGUGUACACUCGUCACCGGGUUCCACUUCCAAAAAUCUCAGCACACUGCCUAGAGGUUGAGCACACCGGUAAUGUACGCAUGUUCAAAUAUGAUCAUGGUGACUGUCAUCUAUGGAUGAUAGCAACUUGUCAAGUUCCCAACCGCUCUUGGAAUUACAAAAACUAUGAUGUUGUUGCUAUCUUCGACAAGCUUGUUGCCGUCCUUGAUGGUUUCACCCGAUGGAUAUUGCUGAAAAAUCAGUUUCUGUACACGGAUGAGUACUGUGAUGCAAUUGAAUACAAGGGCCUUGUGUUUGCUGCCACCACUCGUGGCACUGUUUUUGCAUGGCAUCCUUGUUGUUUCGGUAUGUUUGUCUUCCACCGUAAUUAUAAUUGUUUCUUCCACAUGCAUGCGGGUUAGCAAGUUUCCCUUUACUAAUUAACCUUCUUCUUGUGUUUCCAAGGUCCUGUGAACAUCCCACCACCUAUACUUGAAGAUUUUUAUAACCAAGGGGGAGAUGACGAUGGUGAUGAUCACAAGCAUGAGGACGAGCAACGCCGAUAUACUCUGUGGCGCCUGGCAACUAAUUUCGAUGGAUCACCUCUUCUUGUGUGUAUACAUCCCACUGAUGAUGUUACUGCUAAGGAAGCAGGUGUAGUCUCCCAUGGUCGGACUCUCCGGACCUAUUCCAACACUCGUUGCAUGGUAUUCGGGAUGGAUACUAGGGUGCUAGCGCCAACUCCUUCUCCCUGGCACAGAAUUGAUAGUCUUGGAGAAAACUCGCUCUUCCUUGGACAAAACUAUCCGAUGAUGGUGAAAGGUGAUCCAACUGCUGUUGACACAUUUAUGAGAAGCAACUAUGUCUAUACCUCGGACAUUUGGGUGGUUCCCUACCCUGGUACUGAUAUUGUAGGCCGCUUCAGCCUGGAUGAUCAGUCCUGCGUUGGUCUCCAGAUCGACAAUGGAUGGCCCGUCCCAGAGAAUCACUUGUGGUUCAAAGCAAGCGUUUCCAAUGCCGCGGAAUGGUUGAGUUGAAGUUCAUUUCAUGGCUUGUUAUUUGUUGUGUGGUGAAAACUUUAUUAUUUAUAAUGUAUCCUCAUUGUCGAUGUGGGUUGAUGACCUAUUGUACUAUGUAAUAAAAUGAUAUGCCUGUGAUAAACUUGCUAAAUUUAUGAAUGGCUUUCGAGUCGCUUCUCUAAGUGAGUGGUGCGACGAGGCAAAAAUAUAUUUUCCGAAUACAUAAUUGUACGUGCAUUGCAACAGGUUAUCAGAUGAGGCCAAUCAACAAUAGUAGUACACUAUUUGUACUAGCUUCACAUGCUUCGCGCGUCGGGCGGGUGUUUUUACUUUAGCCAUAUGUUAAUGUGUUCGUUGUACAUAACCAGCACCUCGAAUCCUCGAUAUACUAGUAUUAUAGUAUAUAGUAGGAGUAAGUAGUAGGAGUAGUAGGGUGGCAUGGGCCAGAACAAGCAUUCACGUCCAGGAGUAUGGCACACGCCACCACCACGACAUCCAUCUGACACCAUAUUAUUUCUUGGAGUCCGUGCGAGAGCAAUCUCUUCAACCUCGUCAUUUCUCUAACUUCAGCCAUCGCGCGGCGGGCGAGGUGGGGGUUUGCCGAUAGUCGGUUUCCUUAACUGCGGUCCCACUUGUAAGGCCAACUCCAACGCACGACCCCAAACGGACCUCUGUUUUGCACGAACUCCAAAGAUAAUUUUGACUACUCCUGUAGUAAGUUGGAUUAGUGCCUUCUCGAUGCAUUCAUUUUUGAUCUGCGGAGGCUCGAUCUUGCGUGCUUCUUUCUUCUUCGAGUGUAAAGAAGUAGACGUUGCUUCCUCGCAUCUAGUCUCAUGUCUAGCCUCUAUUCUAUACUAGCUAAAAGUGAUAGAACAUCUACUAAAUUGCGCUCUAUCAAUAUAUGGAUGUACCCUUCUUCCCAAUACAAAAACUUGCAUCCAUUCUACUCCCUAUGUUCCACAAUACUACAUGCCUUCUAUUUGUCAAAAUAUAUAUGUAUCUAGACAUGUCUUAGUAUAUAGGUACAUCCAUUUUUGGACAAAUGGAAGUCAAGUAUUUUGGAACGGAGGGAGUACACAAUAAAAUUUUUAAGUUAGCACAACUAGUCUAAUCCGAGAGCAGAACCGAAGAUUUGGUCGGGUUCUUCCUCCUUUUGCCAACACGUGGGACAUCCAGCAUCCAGGUCGUGUCAUGAAAGAAAAUAGAGUGGUAUUUGAAGCCACGAGAUGUGCAUCUUGGAUUAAACUGUAAAUAGAAUCUUACUCCAAAAGCGGCCACCGAAGAUCUUUAUUGGAUUUGUUUUUCAUCACCAGCAUGUCGAGGUGAAAGAUGUGUAGGUUCAGUGGGUCCUCUUGCAUUUUCACUGACAUGUGGGGCCGCAUGUGAGCAAAUAGACGAUGGGCUCCACACAUCCGCUGGCUGGCUGAGAAGAGAGAUAGAGGAGGGCUGAGCACAGACUGCAGGAAAUUUGUUCUACGUACCUCGAUAUAGGCUCAAUAUAGUGGGGUGGCAUGGGCCAUAACUAGCAUUCACGUCUAGUAGUACGGCACACGCCACCCACACGAGUCCCAUCCGACACCAAUUUUCUUGGAGUCCGUUCUACAGCCAUCUGUUCUCCCUCCUGUCCUCUUUUCUCAGCCAUCGCGUGGUGGGCGGGGUGGGUGUUUGCCGAUAGUCGGUUUGCUCAACUGCGGUCCCACUUGUAAGGGAAAAUGCAACACCGCACACAUUCCGCUUGAGCGGCGUGCCGGACCAACCGUGUGGGGGUGCGACGUGAACACGGCAGGCUUUUCCUUUUGAACUCGUAACUUGUAAAAUUUGGUUCUGCUCCAUGGCGCGGUCGAUAGAUAGAAAAUAACGAUUUUGUCUAGAGUAAUGAGAAGUUUGCUUCUGGCGCCGUUCAUGCAUGGAGUACGUACGAAAAUUAUGAAGUUGAUGCGAAAGGUAAGAUAAGUACUGUAGUAUCAUAUACUACUACAUGGAUUUGGCGGAAGGAUAAAAAUACAUAUGGAUCCAUCAACGUUCAACGACAUCCUCACGCCCUAGUGCGCCGGGUCACCAACCGAUGUGUGAGGAGCAUCGAUGUUGGCGGCGAGCUCAACGUGCUUCUGAACAGUGUCGUCCAAGGUUGCCAUGCGCUCCAAGAAGGCCAGCGUCCUAUCGUCCUCCUCUUGCAUGUACUAGUCCUUGUGGACGAUUUGCGCAUAGAUGUGGGUGAUUAUGUCGAUGAUGUCUUGCUGCGCCAGGCGCUGCGCCAGGCGAGCGCGACCUCAAGGUGGACAUUCUCCGGCGCGACGAUGGGCAGUCGCAGGGCCACCAGUGCGUCGAAGAGGUUGUUACCAUAGUGGCCGUUGAGGGUGGCGGGCAUUGCAGAGCCUGGGCGCGUCGGCUGGAGGCUUACGUCAAAGUCGUCCGCAAUCUUCUUGAUGACGGUGAACUUGUCGAGGAAACCGACGAGGACCUCGUCGAACAAGGAUGUGAAGCUGUCGUCCAAGCGGCCCCUCGCCCUGGCGGCCUCAAGCAAUACUACCUGCCAGGCCGCAGGCCAGCGUCGUGGACCAUCUGGCACAGCCGGCUGAUGCUCGCGCUCAUCGCCUCCAUGGGUCUAGCGUAGCUUCUAGUCAACUGAUCUUGCGAUUCGAGUGAUCACUCAGCCCUUGGUUAGCGUGCAUAGGUGCGGAUUUCGUACUACUCCUCGGCCCUCUACUGCACUUGCCUUUGGCUAUAUGAUAGGUGGGCCAGCCACCCCCUGGGGCCACGUGUCAUUCACCUCCUGACCCGUCUCUCACACGCACCCUGCUAGUGUAUAUACUCCCUCCUUUCCGAUUUAUAGGGCUUAUCUCAAAAUUUUAGUUUUUCCAUUUCAUAAGGCUCAAUUUGGUUGUUUUCCAUCACAUGUUCAUAUUCCAAGGUGCAUUAAAUCAUUGGAUGCAAGUACUAAGAGAAAAUUGACCAAUGCAUGUAAUUUAUGCAUGCAUGCAUUGCAAUUAAUGCAUUGGUAAACAUACUUUUUUGAGGAAAACAAGAGCAUUAAUUGGGUGCUUUUGCAAACUACAAAAAGUAUUCCACCACUCACCAUCUACCUUGGUUGGUGAGAAUUUUGAAUUGAGCCUUAUAAACCGGAAAGGAGGGAGUAUAGUGGUUUUAUUUUUCUCUCCAUAUCAACCAUUUUAUAUUGCGUACGUGUGAUUCAAGAGUGAAAUGAUGGUUGCUUCUUCCGACUAACUUACUGUGUGAUUUGACUGCUCCUUAGUGGCCCCUACACGUACUCCCCCUACGUGUAUGCAACAGUCACACGUACACAUGGACGCAAAAACGCGCGCGACGCCCUAAUGCAUGCAUGUUCAAGCACACGACGGAACACACACGGUGACGCUCAAGUGCUCAACCUACACAUGCAUGCACACACAUACUCAGUCAGGGUGAGCUAGUGACCGUAUGAACACCGGAAAAUAUAUAUAUAUUGAGCGCAAUGAGCGUAUUAUGAAGUCCACUGACCGUAUUUUUACAAAUAUAUAGUGACAGACAGUGUAUUUAUCUCAUUUGAAAUUAAGCCAUGUUAACCGGAGAGGAGGUAGCAUGGACUAGCAUUACUUUGCUGUGUCCCAUCAACUUGCCGAACGAGGAGAAGGUUGCAGGACGGGAGAAGCUUGCGCGCGGUGGCUCGCAGGACAAGAAGAAACUUUUGACUAAUGCAAGCUCUCCCUCGCUCAGGCGGUGGACGUGCAACAGUUAAUUCGGUGUCAGAUUGCCAGAAGCAUACUACACUAUACUACUAGGAACCGGAUGGAGGAGCGUCUGCACUCUUAUUAUAAUUUUAAAAUGUGAUAAAGCAAUCUUCAACACAUUUGGUUCUCUUCAAGGGUUCUCGCAUGUGAUAAUGGAAGUUGAUUGCAUGGAACACUCGCCACAAUUCUCGCUUAAUUCUGGCUCAUAUCCUGUUACAAAUAGUAGCGCUCAGUAAUAUUUCCUCUUUUUUUGUUAUUCAGCAUGUAAACAGGUCAGCAAACCUUGCGGCGCAUCUUCGUGCGAACCGUGUUUGCUGCACUUUGAAUGUGGCCGAGAGUUAGCUUGAUGAAACACCUCGCUUCCUACUUCUUUUUUUGGCUUCCUAGUGACCAGUGUCUUGGCUGAUCGUCCUAAGAAUGCUUAUACUCCCUCCGGUCCUUUUUAGUUUGGAUAUAAGAUUUGACUGAAGUCAAGCCUCGUAAAGUUUGACCAACUUUAUAGAAAAAAGUACCAACAUUCACAAUCUGAAAUCAAUAUCAAUAGAUGUGUCAUGACUUAAAGUUUCAUAUUGUAUAAUUUUAGCAUGGCAGAUGUUGAUAUGUUUUCAUAUAAAGACGGUCAAACUUUGUGAAGUUUGACUUCAGAGAAUUCUAAUAUGCAGAGUAAAAAGGACCGGAGGGAGUAUAUGAAUAAAGCUCUCUCAUUUACCCGCAAAAAAGAUUAAGCCAUAUUAACCGGAAAGGAGGGAGUAUGGACUAGCACUACUUUUUGGUGUGUCCCGUCAACUCGCAGAACGAGGAGAAGCUUGCAGGACAAGGUGAAGCUCUCUUACGCCUUUUGACUAAUGCAACCUACCCUCGGUGGACAUGCAUCAGUCCAUUCGGUGUCAGAUUGUCAGAGGCAUACACUGUAGUACCCAACAUGCGGAGUACCAUCAUUGUUCGACUUCACGAAGGGGCGAAGAGCCAAGCGUAGUACUAGUACGCGUACUUGGUUUUGCACCUUCAUACUACUCCACCCUUCGUCACAGUUUACAGGGCGCGCUUCAUUAUGAUGCAUUUCUCACAAUGCAUUUCCACCACCAGAGAUACUUUAGAUGCGUUUGGUUUAAUGCUCAAUUAAUUAGGGCGUGGUAACCGCAAUCAAGUCCACAAUUUUCUCUCCAUGUACUGUACUACUACGGAGUGCAUGCAUGUGUGUACCCGGGGUGGAAGCACUGCAUGCAUGUUUGUACGCGUUAUUCCCUCUAGUAAUAGACGCCGUGCUAUAACUACCAAUGCUAUUUUUCAGGCCGAUCGCUAGUCGCCUUGGUCCCACAGAUUUUUUUCUUUUUUCUGAAGCGCGCUGUAUAAACAGUGACGGAUGGAGUAGUAUGAGCGGAUUCAAAGAAGAGCGUAUUGAUGGUUGCUUCUUCAGAGCAACUUACAAUGGGAAAGGUGGGGCUUAUGAUUUGACUGCUCAUUACUCACUAUUAAUGCGGCGCAACGACCGGGCUGAGUCUCCCAUGCGGUUGUGCACUACCCCCUCGGUUCUUAAAUAUACACCGGAGUAUUUGUCUUUCUAAAAUAUGUUGAAAUCUCUGUUAAGAAGAAUAGAAUAUUUAGGAAUGGAGGGAGUACACAUACGAAGCAAAAUGAGUGAAUCUACACUCUAAAAUAUGCCUGUUUGAAAUUUGUAAAAAGACAAAUAUUUAGGAACGAAGGAGUAUAAUUCCGUGCAUGGCACAUGGACCCGGAUGAUGAAGAGGCUUCUAGCAAUGCUAUCAAGCUUCCAUCAUUUGUUUACAUAAUUGAAGUACUAUACAAAUAAUUUUCCAGCGACAUGAAAUUGUACAAUGGUGUGAGCUUUCAGCUUUUGUUUCACGUGUCUUGCCAUCGAUGCUCUUUCGGAAACAAUAAAAAACUAACUUCCUUCUAAUGCAUGUCAAUUAUUAGCAGAUCGGAGCUAAUAAUUACAUCACAACUGAAGACAAAGUUGUGAGAAGGUGUUAAAUUAAAAUUGAUCCAUGCUUUCAUUGGCAGCAACAUCCCCCCAGCUCUGUCUAAAUCAACAAGGCAUGUUGGGAAAAAAGUAGCUGUCUAGAGCAUGCAACAUUCCGAUCAUUUUGUGCAGUUCCACUAAAAUAGAGCUGAGCGUCCCUGUUCCAAAGAUAUCAAGUGUGAUUACGAUAAUAGAGGACUACUGAUGAAACAAUAAACACACAAAUAGAAGCCGGUCACCUUUGCAGUCUCUCUUAAGACUAACUAGUUGGAGAAGAUUAGGCUCGGAGUUGGAUGAGGAGGAUAGAGCAAAACCAAUCUCCCUUUGUGUAGUCGCACUGAAAUGUAGAGACGUUGCCCGUGUGACAUUUUAGUACAACUGCACAAAACACUCUUAAGAAAAAAGUGAUUUGUGCAGUUCACCAAAAGGUCGCAAUAGCAACAAGGUGAAAUGGAUAGCCCUGUUUGCAAAAAAAGAGGUAGAAAGGAAACAAUUACUGGCCAAUAAGAGUUGAUGACACAUGCGAUGACAAAAAAUAAGCAUAUUCCUUGUCCUAAGGGAAGAUAAAAACACGGUUGUGUUUGUCUAAAACGGUGUGAGGACGAGAAUGCAAUAUGGAAAGUAUGCCGGACGAGCUACGUUUUGGGCAAAGAACUAUGGAAGAUCCACAUGCAACGUCGUGGGAAAACGGGCAGUGGAGCAAGGCCGGAGGGGAUACAAGGUCGUCAGGAUGUAACUAGGUGAGCGGCGGCGGGCGGAAUCCGCGAGCAGGUGGCGUAGGCCCUGCCGCACCGGAGCUUGGUCAGAGAGAACGGCGUGUACCGCAGAUCGGGACGUGCUGCCUCGGCACCGUCGAACGGAGAAACGAUGCACUUCCUUCCUUUCCCCCGGCGGACGGGAUGCGGCCGAAUCAGUGACCAACGGUGAGAGAGAGAGAGGCCACCGCACUUCCUUUCCCCCGGCGGAUGGGAUGCGGCCGGAUUAGUGACCAACAGUGAGAGAGAGAGAGGCCACCACACUCCCUUCCCCCCGGCGGACGGGAUGCGGCCGGAUCAGUGACCAAAAGUGAGAGAGAGUGUGUGAGAGAGAUAGAGGCCACCGGAGCCUUGUGUGAGAUACUCUGAAGAGCGGACUACCUUUUCCUCCAUAAAAAUCGUUUUAUAUUCUGUGUACGUGCCAUUGAGCGCUAUAACUUUAUUUAAAAAUAAAGCGGCAAUGCGUCAAGUCGAACUUUGUUUCAUGCACGCGUGGUACACGACCUCCCUAGGUAAACAACCGCUACAGGCGUUCAAAUUAGCAUGUGGGUUGCCAUUUCGUAAAAAAAUGAGCUCCACCGUGUACCCGCGCGGAUGUGGCUGGGUACGAAGAGUGAGUACGUGCACGGUGCACCUAUUCUCUUCUUGUAUACGUACACCACCUACGUGGGGUUGUGUGAGAGAGAUACAAACCUAGAGACAUAUAGUGUGUGGGUUCUUGAGAGUUUUUUUGGUGGGGGGUCGAUCAAAAAAUUUAACAUAUGCAAUGUGUGUGAAAUAGAGUCCUGGAUAUAACAUAUAUAUUGAGGGGGCGAUCCACGAGAAGAGAGUGGAGGUAUCAUCGGCUUGAGGUGUCUAUAGAAUCGAAGAGAGGGAUGAUGUGUGUGUGUGUGUGAGUGUGCGCGCGCGCGAUCGAUAAAGAGUGCCAUCGAAUUUGUUUGUGCCCAUGUCAAAGAUAUAGAUUGGCUGGCCUACUGGAAUGUGAGAUGGGACAUGUGCAGUUUGUCUCUGUGGCAUGGAUACCUACCUGCAGCGCUCGACUAUCGGUGUGUGGUGGGGGAAGAGGGAGACCCAAUUAACUAUAGAGGUACAAUGGCUGGUAUAUGUGUGGAGGAGGAGAGAGGCCUACCUCAUGUAUUAAGGAGAUCGAUCUGCCUCAUGUAUUAAGGGAGAUCGAUCGGCAUCCAUGCAUAUGUGCAGGAGAUGAAUAAGGUUGGGAGAGAGACAAAGCUAGAGUGUUGGAGGGGGUGGUAGUGGAGUUGCUUCUAACAAAUGGUGGGAUAGGCUUGCUAGACAAAUGGAGGGCACGCCCGCAAUAUCAAUAAGAGAGGAGAUGGCUGCUUGUUGUCUGUGCAUGUGCGUGUGAGAGACGGGUCAGGAGGCAUGCAUGAAUGAUGAGGGGGGCGAUGUGGCUGUGGUAAGCAGAUGUAACUACAUAGGAAGAUCAAUCGCCCUUUGUAAGAGAAAGGAGAGACAUAACUUGUGAGGUACGUCGAUCGAUGGGGAGGGUAGUUAAAGUCGAUCUAGGUAUAUGGUGGGAGAUCGAUCGGUAUACAUGCAUGUGUGUGUUAGAAGCGAACGAGGCACGAGGAGAAGGAUAGAGAGAGAGGGAUGCAGGUAGGAGGUGGUACGAGAGGCAUACUAUAUCGAGGGGGAGGAGUGUGCGAGUACGAGAACGAUGAAAAGAGUGGUGGGAGUGAGGCAUGGACGGUGACAAGAGAAGAGGGGAAGCUUGUGUUUGUGCUAGGCACACCUAGCUAGAGAGGCAUAUUGAUCGAUGUGUUCCGUAAAGAAGGAGCUGGGGGGCCUACACACACCGUGGGUGAACGACCUAAAGUGAAAACACGAAUUUGCGCGAUGGAGCUAGAGAAUGCUGAGCGAGGGUGAGAGGGAUGCGGGCGUGUGCAUGCACAAGAGAAAGUUAGCGCUAGCUACAAAGAUAAGAGGGUUGUGUGGGUGUAAAAGAUGAAUAGAGAUCAUAUAUACUUCAUUAUAAAAAGCGAAUUCGGAUAUUUGAAGAAUUUAUCAUAGUGUUUAAAACCGACGGAUGUGUGAAUAUAUAUAACGGUGAUAAACAUGGUGUGGUUAUGAACAUGGUAUACUACAUUUAAUAUAUUUUAUCUCUACUCUUAUAAAAACGGAGUUGUUGAUGAUGGUGUGCCUGCCAUCCUGCAUUAUAGGCCGUCUGAUUUAUAUCUGGCGGAUAGCAAGGAAACUUUGAUGGUUGAAGUUGGCAACAAUCAUGAUUGUAGAUUCUUAUUGAAAUAGAGAAAUGAAUUCAAAUUUAGUUCGAAUUGCAGCGGUAGUAUAGACAUUUGGAAUGCACUAAAAUGUUGGUAUGAGUAGGUUACAUGCAUUAUACAACAAGCAAAAAAAUUUAAUCGGACAUAACAUGGAUUCAUACUCCCUCCUUCCAUCUACAUAGGGCGUAAUGAGAUUUUUAAGACCUCCUUUGACUAUUGACAAGAUUAAUAGUACAUGACAUGCACAAUGUGAAAAUUAUAUCAUUGAAAGAACCUUUCACAGACGAAUUUAACGGUGUGCUUUGUGUAAGUUGCAUGUCAUAUAUCAUUGCUCUAAUAUUUGGUCAAAGUUAGCAUCGAAAAACGCAUUAGGCCCUAUAUAGAUGGAAGGAGGGAGUAGCUUUGAAUAGCAUUUGUAUAGUAAAACGGGGCAAGACUCUCUCUUUGUGUGGUGUGAAUAGUUUUAUUUUUUUCGUUUUCUUUUUGGUUGAGGGAAGUGCGAAUUGAUUUGGUACGUACAAGUACAAUAUUACGACACGUUAGGCUUGUCCCUGAAAUUCAACCCGCGUCUUGUUAUAUCCCGAAAAUUCAGCUAUCGUGCUCCCAAAACCGGCGCCUUCACAACCCGCGCCUUGCUAUCCCGAAAUUACAACGCACGCGAAAACUCCCUCCAACUGCCAAAUCCCGACACGUGAAAUCCCCCUUCUAACCCUGAGCCGAAAGCGCCGCUAGUUCAAAUCGGUGGGGGGUACUUUUGUAACACACCCUACAUUUUGGACAAGCGCGUUCCUAAGUCAUGCUUCACCCCCUCCCAUCACCCCCUUUUCGCCAUUCGAAAUCCCAGGCUGCCAUAACCUCUCCGCUCCAGUCGCGAAACCCCACCCUCCUCCAUCCGCCAUGUCACCGCUGCCUAGCCGGAGCCUCUUCCCCGACGACGUCGUCCACCGCAACAGCUCGACGUCCCUCGUCCACCUCCCCGGAUGAGGAUCCGUCGUCCAUCUCGCCGUCCCGCCGGUUCAGCUGCCCCGUCCUCUUCCUCCAAGGAGCUGCUCCAUCCCCACAGCGCCGCCUUAACCUGCUCCACAGGAACCGCAGCAUCCUCACCGACUCCUUGGACGAAGCCGAGGCCUACUCGGCGCCACCAAAGAGGUUGUACACUCAUCGCAUCGCACCUUCUCCUUAACUGGACCUCCCGGCCCUGAUGGUACUCCAUCCCGCACCCCCAUGGAGCGGCUACCUUGAAGCCGGCGCCGCAGGCGACAUCUCCACGGCGGCUCUCCCCAAGUGUGAGGCCCCUUAGGCGGCGGCGUCCAUACCAGCCGGAUCUGUUGUUGCUGCUCCGGCUCUCGCUCGAUCGCUCGCUCGCCCAGCUGCUGCUGCUGCUGCUCUCCCCCUCGCUCGUGCUGCUGCUCUGCUCUGAUUAAGCCACNNNNNNNNNNNNNNNNNNNNNNNNNNNNNNNNNNNNNNNNNNNNNNNNNNNNNNNNNNNNNNNNNNNNNNNNNNNNNNNNNNNNNNNNNNNNNNNNNNNNNNNNNNNNNNNNNNNNNNNNNNNNNNNNNNNNNNNNNNNNNNNNNNNNNNNNNNNNNNNNNNNNNNNNNNNNNNNNNNNNNNNNNNNNNNNNNNNNNNNNNNNNNNNNNNNNNNNNNNNNNNNNNNNNNNNNNNNNNNNNNNNNNNNNNNNNNNNNNNNNNNNNNNNNNNNNNNNNNNNNNNNNNNNNNNNNNNNNNNNNNNNNNNNNNNNNNNNNNNNNNNNNNNNNNNNNNNNNNNNNNNNNNNNNNNNNNNNNNNNNNNNNNNNNNNNNNNNNNNNNNNNNNNNNNNNNNNNNNNNNNNNNNNNNNNNNNNNNNNNNNNNNNNNNNNNNNNNNNNNNNNNNNNNNNNNNNNNNNNNNAAGAACCACCCGCAGCGGGGACGGGGGCUCGCCGGAGAGGUACCCCACUAUCUAUCUUAGGGUUCGGGGUGGGGGGCCUAGAGGGCUGGCCGGGGCGGCGGUGGCGAGUUGUUUCGGGGCGGCGAGGCGGCGCUGGGGCCGGCGGUUCGGUCGGUGGUGGCUGGCGGCUCAGGGGGGUAUAGGUUGAAGAUGAACUGUAGGCCCUCCCUAAACUACAUGUCAAGUGCCUCUCUGCUACCAUUGCGUUCAGUUUUGACAGUAGCAUUCAGAUUCCACAGUAAAUUUCAGUUUCAAAAGUUAAGUUCAGAGUCAAUAGUUUUUACCUCAUCUGUUGUAGUCAGGUGGUUUCUGGUGAUGUUAAUUUUACAUCCAUAUUACAUCAUCUAUUGGAAAUGCUAUUAGAAUCCCACUUGAGAUUGACGAUGUCUGUCUUGUGCUGCUUCAGCCUUGACGUCUUACGGCUCACCGGAGCUGCUCCAACGACAGAACGAUCCAUCACAACAAAGCAGUGCCCUGGACACCGUCUACAGAUUCCUCAGAUCUUCCUCCACACCUCCGACAGCCACCUCUGCCUCAACUGCUUCAGUGACCAACCCAAUGAUGCUGAGGUCGACACGGCUACGGCAAAGAGGUUGUACACUUGUUGCAUCACUUAUUACUAUACAUUCAUGUCGAUCCAUUAGGGCUAUUUUGGUUCAACGAAAAAACAUAGAUCCACUGGUUGUUACCAUCACUCUAAAUUUCUGCAUACUCUCCUUACAUAAUCUCACCAUAUUUUUUUUCGUAUGCAUGUCAGAUAUUGUACACAGUCAUGCUGAACAUGUAAAGAAAAUGAGAAGAGUUUUGCGCAGCAAUACAAUGUCAUGCAGACAUCGCUCCAUGGUGGGUUCAAUGGAAAACCCUCCCCACCCCUCUCCAGAUUGUAAUCCAGAGGAAGAUAUCUGUUCUGAGGCGGAUUCGAACGCCGCUAACCACUCCUAUUUACCCCCCAAGGUGUUUGCUCUACCUUGGCAUGAUGAUGUUAGUCAUAUCAUGCAUAUGUUUCCUUGCAGUGCCUACUUUUGACAUCAUAUAUGUCAUCUGCUUAGUUUAGACAUGUUCUGUAAUGCCACCUGUUUAGUUUCUAUAUCAUAUAUGGGAAUUAUGCAGUCUCAUGUCUUUUAGCCAGCCAUAAUAUAUGUGAAAUGUGCAAUGCCAUCCUGUUUAACCAGGCAUCAUAUAUUUGAAUGAUAUCUUGCCCAUCCUUUUAUUCAUUACAUUUCCAUUUGUUGACAAUGUUUGUACAUUAAACUACUCUUCCUAUGAAUCAGCCAUUUGGGUGGGAGAUGGAAAAAUCUAGAGUGAAACCAAGGCCUUCAGAGCAGACAGUGCUACCUGUCGAAGCAGAUCUCUUGUUGGGUCCCGAUAGCUCCUCAGAGAUGGAUUCAGAGACAGAUGACCAGUCCUAUUCUCCCACUGAGGUGUAUGCUCUAACUUGGCAUGGUUAUACUGCUCAUAGCAUGCAUACGGUGUCUUGCAUUGCAUAGUUUAGACAUCAUAUACACAAUAUUCAACACCAUGUUCUUAGUUCAGACAUCAUAUCGAAUGCCCUCUGUUUAGCAUAUAAAUCAUAUAUGUGAAUUAAAUGAUGCGAUCAUGAUUACUUAGAUAACAUGUAGGUGAAUUAUGUCAGGCGAUCCUAUUUAGUUAUUCAUUAUAUCUUUGAAUUAUGUUAUGCUAUGCUAUCCAAUUUAGAUAGACAUCAUAUAUGUGAAAUUAUGUCCUGCUAUCCGUUUUAGUUAAACAAUAUACAUGUCAACUAUUUCAUGCCCUCUUUUUUCCACACUAUCUAUUGCAUCUGUCUCUCAUACAAUGUCUCUACAUUCAACUAUGUUUCCUGUUUAUCAGCCAUUUGAAUUGGAGCAGGUGAUGCCAGUAUCUAGCGGACUAAAAACACGGUCUUCAAAUAAAAUAGUGCUACCUCUUGGUCGAGAUAGCACCCCGGUUGUACAUGCACAAGAACCAUCCCUACCACACAUAACCCAAACUCUCGCAGAUUGUACCCCUACUACGAUGGACAGAGAACCGGCUUCACCCAAUCUAACCCCAACCCCAGCCGAUAGUAACCCAGUUCCUGUUGACACAGCACCAUCUCCACCACAGAGCUCCCAAACAAGAGCAGUUAGUAAGGCAGCUCCAGUGCCCAAAGGGCCAGUACUAUCACGGCGAACCCCAACUCCAGCAGUUAGUACGCCUAUUCCUGUGGAGGAAGCACAAGCAGCUAGUCGUAGUUUAGCAUCUAUCGCAUUUGAUGUUGUUAAAUCGUAUGUGCGUAUCUUCCCAUCUUGGAAAUAUUAUACUGAAGAUGAAGGAAAAUGCUAGUUGCAGGUGUUUGUCCAGGAGUUAUGUGUAAGUAAUGUUAUUCAUGGCAAUUACUUUGCUUUGUCCCAUACAUCCUACCUCCAUGAUGGUUAUAAUACAGCAAAUUUUCCCAUUUUUCUCUAUAGAGAAGGACCGAUUUGGAAACUCAGGAUGAGAUAACCUGUGCUAAUACCUCUGCUAUCUUCAAGAAUGCUUGGUGGUAGUAUCGGAAUUACCUGAAGAAAACGUACUUCACUGGCAAAGAAACUCAUCAAAUUCCCUUACGUUCUCCUGAGACACAUUUACUGGACGAUGACUGGGAACGCCUUGUUCUGUACUGGUCCCGAACCAAGAAUGUGGUAAGGUCUAUGAGCUCAUUUUCUAAUUUUAAGUAUUAUAUUCUUGCGUCUUAUUGUACUCUGUUCAUGUAGAACAAGUGCCUAAACCUGAAGAACAACUGUUCUAAUUUAAGAUUCCAUUGCUACCAUAGGACAUAGAUAUAUUUUUGUUUGAUGCUUUUAUUAUGUACUAGUACUUUGCAAUAGAAGACUUGGUAGUUUAAUCCUUUCCACCUUACUAAUGAACUGGUUCACCGAAAUGAGUUUCAUAUACUAGUACAUGCUAAACUUGUUAUGUGUCUGCUUGUUUCUUCUUUUAAAAUGCUGACAGAAUAUUGGGGAAGAGUGCCUUAUUAAGCAACGGUAAAGGAAGUAAUGCAGAUAAGGUGCAGGAUAGUGACACAUCCUGUCUUGGUUUAGUGUUGGGGUUACUGGCCACUACCGCUUGCACAAGCUAUUCAAACUCACUGUCUGAAUCAGUUCGGUUUGUUGAGUCUCAACUACAAGAUGAAAGACAUCGAUCAGCUGUGCUGUGACAAGAAGCAGAAGGACUGCGGAAGUCCCUGGAGCAUUCAGAUGCAUACUUUCUGGUGUAACAGCAAGCGUUGGAGGAUUUUAGCGCCAAACAAGACAAAGCUAAUCAGCUUGCUAAGCUUAUUGCCAGCAUGGUGGAUACCCAGGAUAAUGUUUCUUGAGAUCUUCUGAAGUUGUUUCAGUUAUGCUCUUGUUUUGCUGCCGCGUUUAUUUGCACUGGUGGCCAAUUUUGACGGGCAGUGUAUAUGAUAUGCUGCUUUGUUCCCUAUAUUUGCACUGGUGGCGAACUUUGAUGCCCAGUGGAUGUAAUAUGUGUAAUAGCCGUGAUAGCCUAGCGUUAGUUGCUUGCUUAUUUAUUUCCUUGUUGUCUUGUUUAUUUGUUUGCUUGUAGUCAUUGCAGUUCUUUUUCCAUGGUUAACUAGUGGCUGCAAUAACCUAUUUUUUAAAACUAGGCCACAAUAACCAUGGGCUAAUAUUUACUGUAGUGACACUGGGCCUCCUACGGGCCGUAGAAACAGUAGGCCUUCUACGGGCCGUAGAAACAAUGGGCCUUCUACGGGCCGUAUCAUCAAUGGGCCUUAUACGGGCCGUAUGAUCGAUUGGCCAAACAUGGGCCAAUAAUAGGCCGCAUUAUGGCCGUAAACGGUCUAGAGUUGGAAUCGUCCGUUCAUGGGCCGACCGUAAUGGGUCAUUGUUAAUAGGCCAUAUUUGAUGACGCUAUGAAAAUGGCCCAACGUAUUAACGGACCACAAACGGGCCGACUGUAACCACAGGCUGAAUUUGGCCCACAAGCAGAAAAUGACAGUAACGGGCCGUAAGUAAACGAAUGCUGGAAAUGAGCCCAAGAGUAAAUGGGCUCUGAGAAGGCCGAAAGAUAACAUGGGCUGGAAACGGCCCAACGGGCCGUUAAUGGGUAUAAAGUGAUACACUGUUCAUUACGGGCCAGUUUCACCACGGGCCGUUAAUGAGUGUAAAGUGGUACACUGUUCAUUACGGGCCAGUUUCACCACGGGCCGUUAAUUGGCCAAGAGUUACAUAGGGCCUCAUAUGGGACGAAAGACGUCAUGGGCCAUACAUGGGCCAGAAGUGAAAACGGGCUGGAAUCAUAUUGGAUGGCCCAGAUGACGCUACUGGGCCUAAUUCGGAUAGGGUGUAACGGGCCUUGGGUUAGCGGGCUGUAAAUGGGCUAUAUGCGAAUAGGCCGUUAAUAGGCUUUCCAUGGGCCGGCCCGCCAGCUUUUGACCAAGUCAAACGGGCCAGCCUUUUCAUAGGAAUGGGCCUCUGUUGGGCCAUGCCACGCGUCGACGUAUCAUAGGUGCCAAUAUGACCAACUGACGAGCUGACAUGUGUUUCGUCCGGCCAAUAAGAAUUUUACAUGUGGAAAUUUCCCAUUGGUUGGGGCUGUUAACGGGUUAUCGGAUCCACAACCCGACCCGAUAGUUUAACGGUGGAUGCCAGGUGUCGGUUACCCUAGACGAAAGCACUUUUGUGACGCGUGAUUUAUCGUCAUGGAAGUGGACACUUCUGUGAUGAUAAUUUUGGUAAUAUCAUGGAACACUUCUACGACAGCACAAGUAUGACUAUCUUGGUUCUGUCAUAAAUUUGUCAUGGAUGUACAUGCAUGACAAAAAUCAACCUACUGUGACAAACACGUAUCAUCAUGGAAGUGUAUUUUUUUGUAGUGUGGCUUGACAUAGUUACAACAACAAGAGCAAACAGAGUUUGUAAAAGUUUUUCUUUCUUUCUUUCAGUUUGCCAACUGAAUUGCUUGAGAACAAGCAAGGGUUUAAACUUGGGGGAGUUGAUACGUCUCCGCCAUAUCUACUUUUCCAAACACUUUUGCCCUUAUUUUGGACUCUAACUUGUAUGAUUUGAAUGGAACUAACCCGGACUGACGCUGUUUUCAUCAGAAUUGCCAUGGUGUUGUUUUAUGUGCAGAAAACAAAUAUUCUCGGAAUGACCUGAAACUCA